rnacentral:rRNA from 1 species
UUCGUAGGUGAACCUGCGGAAGGAUCAUUAACGAAAUUAUAAUCCGGCGAGGGGAAGGCGGCAGAGCUGUGGCUGGCCUCUUUACCGAGGCAUGUGCACGCUCUCUUCUGGACUUUCGCCGUAUGGGCGUGUGGGGGCCUGCCCCCCCCGCGUCUUCAUAUACCUCUUCGUGUAGAAAGUCUUUGAAUGUUUUUACCAUCAUCGAGUCGCGACUUCUAGGAGACGCGAUUCUUUGAGACAAAAGUUAUUACAACUUUCAGCAAUGGAUCUCUUGGCUCUCGCAUCGAUGAAGAACGCAGCGAAUCGCGAUAUGUAAUGUGAAUUGCAGAUCUACAGUGAAUCAUCGAAUCUUUGAACGCACCUUGCGCUCCUCGGUGUUCCGAGGAGCAUGCCUGUUUGAGUGUCAGUGAAUUCUCAACCCCUCUCGAUUUGCUUCGAGCGGGUGCUUGGAUCGUGGGGGCUGCCGGAGACCUGGAUUUAUUCAGGACUCGGGCUCCCCUGAAAUGCAUCGGCUUGCGGUCGACUUUCGACUUUGCGCGACAAGGCCUUCGGCGUGAUAAUGAUCGCCGUUCGCUGAAGCGCAUGAACGAAUGGGUCCCGUGCCUCCAAUGCGUCGACGCCUUCUGGCGUCUUCCUCGUUGACUUUUGACCUCAAAUCAGGUUGGACUACCCGCUGAACUUAAGCAUAUCAAUAAGCGGAGG